rnacentral:lncRNA from 1 species
GAGACGCAUCUUCCAGCUAGAGAAAGUAGCUGGAGUUUACUGAGGCACAAGUUUAUCUCCAGGUCGCUGGCUCGUGUUUAUUCAGAUUCUGCUCUAAUCAGGGAUUUUGAUCCACGGGUGGACCGUGUACAGCACUUGGCUGCUGAAGCUUCAACCUCACCUCCUUUCCUUUCUCCAAGUUCUUUAUCAUCGGAUUCAAGCGUCAGCUCGAAGUAUAGUUCAGACUCACCCUCCCUGUCACCUUCAACUAGCUCACCGCCAUCAUUUGGUCUCUCGCCUGCUUCGUCUAAUCUGCCUCAUACUUUGG